UUACUGCAAGUGCCGUUUACGGGGCAUUUAAUUCUGCAGAAAUGGGUGUGCGUUUAGAACCAAACAAUUGUCCAAGGAUAAACCGAAACUUAAAGAGUCUUUAUUAAUUUUUUCAAUCGCCUGAGAUUAAAUUUAAAGUGUCGGACCUUAAGUUAACUUGUUGACGGAAAAGUCUUUCAUCCCAAGAACCACUUUGUCAGCGCGGUCAGUAUGACGAAUGGCGGGUAUGUCCCAUUCUUUAAUCGGCGGACGACAGACAUGAUUUUUUGUAUGUUUUGGAUCCUGUUUACUUUCCUAGGCCCUGUUAAAGGUGAGACAGCAUGCCAGAUGGCCAUGACACAGUAUUCUUUACCUGGAGCAUCCCUUUGUUACAGUACAUCAGGAACUGGAAAUAGAGUUGUACUGAACGCCUUCGAUGCACAUCACUCCUCC